UAUAGUAGUGAAGAGUAUAGCAUUGUAGGUAGUGAAGGUAGUAGCGAGGGUAGCGGAGGUAGCGAGGGUAGCGGAGGUAGCGAGGGUAGCGACGGUAGCGAGGGUAGCGAAGGUAGCGAGGGUAGCGAGGGUAUCUAAAUCUAAUCUAAGAGAUUAUGACUAACAUAUAAUAAUGUGGUUAUAAUUAAGCUAUGACAAUUAAUACACUUGAAACUUAUGCAAACACUAAAAUACUGAUUUAUAUAGAGAACAGCUGACUGUCAAUUGCUCUUUUGAAUUGACUUAGAGAGAGCAUGUUUCUCGUACAUUUUGCGGUAACUCGUUCCACAUCACUUCCCCGCUAUAACUAAAAACUU